CAGAUGUGUUUUGCAUACAUUUCCUAUGUGUCAGGAAAGCUGAACUCAUCACAGAGCUCCGGUUUCUUUUGAGUGAAUUCUGAAUGAAUAAUUUUAGAAUGACCUGGCAUAAAUUUCAAGAUCUGAAGGACAUUUGAUUAUACUAUCAAGAGUGCAUAGUCAAAUGAGCAACUGGAAGGAAAGAGCUGAUGUAAAUGAAGAGAGCAAAGACUGAGGUGAAACACAUUUGAAAGGAAGUUCAAGUUCAGGUUUGGAACUGUUGCUCUUAAG